rfam:Myotis brandtii contig167139, whole genome shotgun sequence.
GCUGGUUUGGCUCAGUGGAUAGAGCGUCAGCCUGUGGACUGAAGAAUUCCCGGUUCAAUUCCGGUCAAGAGCA